AUCUUUAAUUGCCAUCAUUCAGUUGGGCACUUUAGGAGAGACUGGCCGGUGUUAAGCCGGAGGAGGGUGGGGAUGACGUCAAAUCAUCAUGCCCCUUAUGACCUGGGCUACAAACGUGAUACAAUGGCUGAAACAAAGGGCAGCGAAGGAGCGAUCUGGAGCGAAACCCAAAAAAGCAGUCUCAGUUCGGAUUGAAGUCUGCAACUCGACUUCAUGAAGUCGGAAUCGCUAGUAAUCGCGGAUCAGAACGCCGCGGUGAAUACGUUCCCGGGUCUU
rnacentral:rRNA from 1 species